rnacentral:miRNA from 1 species
UGGGGGAGAUGGGGGUUGA